rnacentral:misc_RNA from 1 species
AGCAGCCGCGGUAAUUCCAGCUCCAAUAGCGUAUAUUAAAGUUGUUGCAGUUAAAAGCUCGUAGUUGAAUUUCGGGAUCAAUUAGUCGGUCGUGCCUCUGGUACGUACUGGUUUUAUUGGUUCCUCCCUUCUGACGAAACAUGAUGUCAUUAAUUUGGUGUCGUGGAGAAUCAGGACUGUUACCUUGAAAAAUUAGAGUGUUUAUAGCAGGCUAACGCUUGAAUACAUUAGCAUGGAAUAAUGAAAUAGGACGUUCGACCCUAUUUUGUUGGUUUCUAGGAUCGACGUAAUGAUUAAUAGGGAUAGUUGGGGGCAUUAGUAUUCAAUUGUCAGAGGUGAAAUUCUUGGAUUUAUUGAAGACUAACUACUGCGAAAGCAUUUGCCAAGGAUGUUUUCAUU